CACAAGACUGCUUGCUGGAUUUCAGCUAGAAAGUAUAACCCAGUAGCUGCUGGCAGCCCUCUUGCGACAAUAAGAUAUCUGGAAACAAGAGGUGAGAAGGAUUAUUCAUGGCGAAUUUGAUGGAACAAGGUUAAUUCAGUAUGAAUGAAAUGUCAUGUAUGAAGAACUAAAAUAAUUCAGUAUGAAUAAAGAAAAAGUGAACAGGAUGUAGAGGGGCAGUGAUCCCACAGUCUCCUGGGCCCUCCUCACCCCACAUGGGGGCCCUCCCAUGAUGCCAAUGAUGGGCCCUCUUCCUCCUGGGACAAUGCCAGCGGGACCUCCUGGAAUGAGGUGGCGCACCAGAGGCCACGUGCCAGUGACGCCUGGGCCCCCGCUGAUGACUUCCCACCGUCCCAUCAUGGUGCCCACUCAGCCAGGAAUGACUCAAGCAGACAGCUUUGCAGCAGCAGUUUACAAGUUUGUACACAGGUGGUAACUUCUGCUAAGGACGUCUCUUUGGCUUUGAAGAGACUUAAAUAAACUUCAGAAGAGAGAAGGCACAGCCAGCUGCUUAUGAUUAGCUAAAGGUUUUUUGUUUUGUCUUGUUUUUUAGUUGUGGUAAAAUAUACAUAACAUAAAACUUACGAUUUUAACUAUUUUUAAGUGUACAAUUAGGUGGCAAUGAGUACA